GCGCAGGCGGUUUUGUAAGACAGAGGUGAAAUCCCCGGGCUCAACCUGGGAACUGCCUUUGUGACUGCAAGGCUGGAGUGCGGCAGAGGGGGAUGGAAUUCCGCGUGUAGCAGUGAAAUGCGUAGAUAUGCGGAGGAACACCGAUGGCGAAAGCAAUCCCCUGGGCCUGCACUGACGCUCAUGCACGAAAGCGUGGGGAGCAAACAGGAUUACAUACCCUGGUAGUCCACGCCCUAAACGAUGUCAACUGGUUGUUGGGUCUUCACUGACUCAGUAACGAAACUAACGCGUGAAGUUGACCGCCUGGGGAGUACGGCCGCGAGGUUGAAACUCAAAGGAAUUGACGGGGACCCGCACAAGCGGUGGAUGAUGUGGUUUAAUUCAAUGCAACGCGAAAAACCUUACCCACCUUUGACAUGGCAGGAAGUUUCCAGAGAUGGAUUCGUGCCCGAAAGGGAACCUGCACACAGGUGCUGCAUGGCUGUCGUCACCUCGUGUCGUGAGAUGUUGGGUUAAGUCCCGCAACGAGCGCAACCCUUGCCAUUAGUUGCUACGAAAGGGCACUCUAAUGGGACUGCCGGUGACAAACCGGAGGAAGGUGGGGAUGACGUCAAGUCCUCAUGGCCCUUAUAGGUGGGGCUACACACGUCAUACAAUGGCUGGUACGGAGGGUUGCCAACCCGCGAGGGGGAGCUAAUCCCAUAAAGCCAGUCGUAGUCCGGAUCGCAGUCUGCAACUCGACUGCGUGAAGUCGGAAUCGCUAGUAAUCGCGGAUCAGAAUGUCGCGGUGAAUACGUUCCCGGGUCUUGUACACACCGCCCGUCACACCAUGGGAGCGGGUUCUGCCAGAAGUAUGUAGCCUAACCGUAAGGAGGGCGC
rnacentral:rRNA from 1 species